rnacentral:rRNA from 1 species
ACAAGCGGUGGAUGAUGUGGAUUAAUCGAUGCAACGCGAAGAACCUUACUACCCUUGACAUGUCCGGAACUUGCCAGAGAUGGCUUGGUGCCCGAAAGGGAAUCGGAACACAGGUGCUGCAUGGCUGUCGUCAGCUCGUGUCGUGAGAUGUUGGGUUAAGUCCCGCAACGAGCGCAACCCUUAUCAUUAGUUGCUACGCAAGGGCACUCUAAUGAGACUGCCGGUGACAAACCGGAGGAAGUGGGGAUGACGUCAAGUCCUCAUGGCCCUUAUGGGUAGGGCUUCACACGUCAUACAAUGGUCGGUACAGAGGGUUGCCAAGCCGCGAGGCGGAGCCAAUCCCACAAAGCCGAUCGUAGUCCGGAUUGUUCUCUGCAACUCGAGAGCAUGAAGUCGGAAUCGCUAGUAAUCGCAGGUCAGCAUACUGCGGUGAAUACGUUCCCGGGUCUU